rnacentral:rRNA from 1 species
CACGUAGGGGACGAGCGUUGUCCGGAAUCAUUGGGCGUAAAGCGCGCGUAGGCGGCCCGGAAAGUCGGAUGUGAAAUCCCGGGGCUCAACCCCGGGCCUGCAUCCGAUACUCCCGGGCUGGAGGCAGGUAGGGGAGAUCGGAAUUCCUGGUGUAGCGGUGAAAUGCGCAGAUAUCAGGAGGAACACCGGUGGCGAAGGCGGUUCUCUGGGACGGUACUGACGCUGAGACGCGAAAGCGUGGGGAGCGAACAGG